UACGAAGGGGGACUAGUGUUAUUCAGAAUGACUAGGGCGUAAAGUGCUAGUAGGCGGUUUAUUAAGUUGAGAGUGAAAAAAAAAGAGCUUUCAAAACUGGUAGACUUGAGUUCGAUAGAGGAUAGCGGAAUUUCUAGUGUAGAGAUAAAAUUCAUUAAUAUUAGGAGGAACACCAAUGGCGAAGGCAGCUAUCUAGUUCGAUACUGACGCUGAGAUGGCGAAAGCUUGGGGAUCAAACGGG
rnacentral:rRNA from 1 species